UAGACGCUUGUAUGUUUGACAGAGUAUAGUUGCAUCAAAAAAUGACAACUUUUAACAAUGGAUCUCUUGGCUCUUGCAACGAUGAAGAACGCAGUGAAAUGCGAAAAGUAAUGCGAUUUGCAUGAAUCUGUGAGUCAUCAAGUCUUUGAACGCACCUUGCACCGUAUGAGCAAUUGUACGGUAUACCUGUUUGAGAAUCGUAAAACUCUAUCCCCGCCCUAUGGUGGGAGACUUGUCGGUUGUGCCCUUGGGUACUCUGAUUAAAUGUAGUAGGUCUGGAUUAGGCUGGUGGCCUAGGACACUAUGUGCUAGAGACGUCGUAGACAGUCUUCUCAUGGUGCGUCCUAGGCUACUAAGCUGGCUUAGUCGAGCCUCUCAGUCUAUGCGCAAGUGUAGACAACCCCCCUUUUUGAUCUCAAAUCAGGUAAGGCUACCCGCUGAACUUAAGCAUAUCAAUAAGCGGAGGAAAUCG
rnacentral:rRNA from 1 species